rnacentral:lncRNA from 1 species
ACUUGGAAGUGUUUCAAGAGAGAAAGGACUCAUCCAUGCCAUCAGGUUGUCCAUGCCAAAAAUAAAUGCCGCCCACCCUUUAUUAGUGUUAAGGAAGAUGGAGAGUCCUUCUUUAAGACUCUUAACAAUCUCUUCUUAUUCCACCAAUUUCCUUAAUAUCACACACCAAAAAAAUAUGAAAAAUUUAUGAGGUGUAGAAGAAGAGGAG